rnacentral:rRNA from 1 species
UACGUAGGGUGCGAGCGUUGUCCGGAAUUAUUGGGCGUAAAGAGCUUGUAGGCGGUUUGUCGCGUCUGCUGUGAAAAUCCGAGGCUCAACCUCGGACUUGCAGUGGGUACGGGCAGACUAGAGUGUGGUAGGGGAGACUGGAAUUCCUGGUGUAGCGGUGGAAUGCGCCAGAUAUCAGGAGGAACACCGAUGGCGAAGGCAGGU